CCUACGGGUGGCAGCAGUGGGGAAUAUUGCACAAUGGGGGAAACCCUGAUGCAGCGACGCCGCGUGAGUGAAGAAGUCUUUCGGUAUGUAAAGCUCUAUCAGCAGGGAAGAAAAUGACGGUACCUGACUAAGAAGCCCCGGCUAACUACGUGCCAGCAGCCGCGGUAAUACGUAGGGGGCAAGCGUUAUCCGGAUUUACUGGGUGUAACGGGAGCGUAGACGGCAGCACAAGUCUGGAGUGAAAUGCCGGGGCUUAACCCCGGAACUGCUUUGGAAACUGUGCAGCUAGAGUGCAGGAGAGGUAAGUGGAAUUCCUAGUGUAGCGGUGAAAUGCGUAGAUAUUAGGAGGAACACCAGUGGCGAAGGCGGCUUGCUGGACUGUAACUGACGUUGAGGCUCGAAAGCGUGGGGAGCAAACAGGAUUAGAUACCCUGGUAGUC
rnacentral:rRNA from 1 species